UACGUAGGGGGCAAGCGUUGUCCGGAAUCAUUGGGCGUAAAGCGCGCGUAGGCGGCCCGAUAAGUCUGCUGUGAAAGUCCAGGCUCAACCCUGGAAUGCCGGUGGAUACGUGUCGGGCUAGAGUUCGGAAGAGGCAAGUGGAAUUCCUGGUGUAGCGGUGGAAUGCGCAGAUAUCAGGAGGAACACCUAUAGCGAAGGCAGCUUGCUGGGACGACACUGACGCUAGGCGCGAAAGCGUGGGGAGCGAACGAGGA
rnacentral:rRNA from 1 species